UACGGAGGGUGCAAGCGUUAUCCGGAUUCACUGGGUUUAAAGGGUGCGUAGGAGGGCAGGUAAGUCAGUGGUGAAAUCUCCAAGCUUAACUUGGAAACUGCCGUUGAUACUAUCUGUCUUGAAUACCGUGGAGGUGAGCGGAAUAUGUCAUGUAGCGGUGAAAUGCUUAGAUAUGACAUAGAACACCAAUUGCGAAGGCAGCUCGCUACACGAAUAUUGACUCUGAGGCACGAAAGCGUGGGGAGCAAAACGG
rnacentral:rRNA from 1 species